rnacentral:rRNA from 1 species
CUACCAGACUCCUACGGGAGGCAGCAGUGGGGAAUAUUGCACAAUGGGGGGAACCCUGAUGCAGCGACGCCGCGUGGGUGAAGGAGUAUUUCGGUAUGUAAAGCCCUAUCAGCAGGGAAGAACAAUGACGGUACCUGACUAAGAAGCACCGGCUAAAUACGUGCCAGCAGCCGCGGUAAUACGUAUGGUGCAAGCGUUAUCCGGAUUUACUGGGUGUAAAGGGAGCGCAGGCGGCGCGUUAAGCCUGGUGUGAAAGCCCGCGGCCCAACCCCGGAACUGCAUUUGAAACUGUUGGUCUUGAGUAUCGGAGAGGCAGGCGGAAUUCCUAGUGUAGCGGUGAAAUGCGUAGAUAUUAGGAGGAACACCAGUGGCGAAGGCGGCCUGCUGGACGACAACUGACGGUGAGGCGCGAAAGCGUGGGGAGCAAACAGGAUUAGAUACCCUAGUAC